UUCCGGUUGAUCCCGCCAGAGGUUACUGCUAUCGAGGUUCGACUAAGCCAUGCGAGUCGAAUGUAGCAAUACAUGGCGUACUGCUCAGUAACACGUGGACAACCUACCCUUAGGAUGGGGAUAAACCCGGGAAACUGGGUAUAAUACCCAAUAGAUCUGGUCUGCUGGAAUGCUUCCAGAUUUAAAACUCCGGUGCCUAAGGAUGGGUCUGCGGCCUAUCAGGUUGUAGUGGGUGUAGUGUACCUACUAGCCUACGACGGGUACGGGUUGUGAGAGCAAGAGCCCGGAGAUGGAUUCUGAGACACGAAUCCAGGCCCUACGGGGUGCAGCAGGCGCGAAAACUUUACAAUGCCGGCAACGGCGAUAAGGGGACCUCGAGUGCCAGGCUACAAAUCUGGCUGUCGCGAUGCCUAAAAAGCAUUGCAUAGCAAGGGCCGGGCAAGACCGGUGCCAGCCGCCGCGGUAACACCGGCGGCUCGAGUGGUAACCGUUAUUAUUGGGUCUAAAGGGUCUGUAGCCGGCCGGAUAAGUCUCUUGGGAAAUCUGGCAGCUUAACUGUCAGGCUUUCAGGAGAUACUGUCUGGCUCGAGGCCGGGAGAGGUGAGAGGUACUUCAGGGGUAGGGGUGAAAUCUUGUAAUCCUUGAAGGACCACCAGUGGCGAAGGCGUCUCACCAGAACGGACCUGACGGCAAGGGACGAAAGCUAGGGGCACGAACCGGAUUAGAUACCCGGGUAGUCCUAGCCGUAAACGAUACUCGCUAGGUGUCGGCCACGGUGCGACCGUUGUCGGUGCCGUAGGGAAGCCGUGAAGCGAGCCACCUGGGAAGUACGGCCGCAAGGCUGAAACUGAAAGGAAUUGGCGGG
rnacentral:rRNA from 1 species